UGGGAAUGUGCUGGGAUGGCUCAAUCCAGCAAGGAAAGCUCCACCAGCAUCCCCAGUCCUCUCCAGGCUGUGCUCUCAAGUCGGCAUCGCUGGUACCCAAGGGAAGAAUUAACAUACUGCAGGAGCAGAUGCUGGCAGGGAGACUCAGGUGGGAGAGGAUGAUGCUGUGGACACCUUCACUGCCUCUGCUCUCCUCUCCUUGGCACUCCAGGACCCAAACCAGGCAAAACUCACUCAUCAGCGUCAGAAGCAAAUGGCUUGGAAGCAUCCAGACAGCACUUCCCUUCCCAUUGACCCACGUCUGUGCAGCCUGCAGUGUGCCUUGGACCUUUAUCCUCUGGGAUGUCAGCCUGGGAGGAUGGAGCUGGGCACUCUUAGCUGUGAUUCAGACCUGGACUGGGACUCCAGAAGGGUUGGCACGGGCAUCUGCAGAUAUAUAUUUUUUUAAUAGCCAUUUAUUUAUUAAACUACUUUG